rnacentral:rRNA from 1 species
UACGUAGGGGGCAAGCGUUGUCCGGAUUUAUUGGGCGUAAAGAGCGUGUAGGCGGCCACACAGGUCAGCUGUGAAAACUCGAGGCUCAACCUCGAGACGUCGGUUGAAACCGUAUGGCUAGAGUCCGGAAGAGGAGAGUGGAAUUCCCGGUGUAGCGGUGAAAUGCGCAGAUAUCGGGAAGAACACCCGUGGCGAAGGCGGCUCUCUGGGACGGUACUGACGCUGAGACGCGAAAGCGUGGGGAGCGAACGAGG